UGGGGAAUUUUGGACAAUGGGCGAAAGCCUGAUCCAGCAAUGCCGCGUGUGUGAAGAAGGCCUUCGGGUUGUAAAGCACUUUUGUCCGGAAAGAAAUCCUUGGCUCUAAUACAGUCGGGGGAUGACGGUACCGGAAGAAUAAGCACCGGCUAACUACGUGCCAGCAGCCGCGGUAAUACGUAGGGUGCAAGCGUUAAUCGGAAUUACUGGGCGUAAAGCGUGCGCAGGCGGUUUGCUAAGACCGAUGUGAAAUCCCCGGGCUCAACCUGGGAACUGCAUUGGUGACUGGCAGGNNUAGUAGUAUGGCAGGCAGGGGGGAUGGAGAAUUGAUCCACGGUGUAGCAGUGAAAUGCGUAGAGAUGUGGAGGAAUACCGAUGGCGAAGGCAGCCCCCUGGGCCAAUACUGACGCUCAUGCACGAAAGCGUGGGGAGCAAACAGGAUUAGAUACCCUGGUAGUCCACGCCCUAAACGAUGUCAACUAGUUGUUGGGGAUUCAUUUCCUUAGUAACGUAGCUAACGCGUGAAGUUGACCGCC
rnacentral:rRNA from 1 species